GGGUUCAUGCUCGGAUCUUGCUACGUGCUUGAUGAGCUUCAUGAGUAAAGUAAACAAUGACUGAGGCAGAGAGCAGCUUCAGAGGAGAAACAUCCAGCAGUGUGAACAACCUCUUCAUAUGGAGUGAUUUGGCUCACACUAUCAGCGUUUUCUCUCAGUGUUGCAUGACUUUGGGUGAGCACAGAGGUGAACACACUGUCAGCCACGUAUUUAUUUAUUCAUUUUUUAGUUUUUAGUUCUGCUUUUGUACUGGCACUAUACUGGGGCAGCUGUUUACCCUUUCAACACCUUAUUUUCUAUAUUUACAUUUGUAUUGAAUGGACACUUUAUCAUGACUGCCACUUGUUUUACAGAAAGCAAAUUAUUUGUCAUUCUCCAGUGCAGAGCCUUUACUUUUAUUUAUACAGCCGCUUUAUUUCAUUUGAGUUUGUUUGUUCAAGGUUUUCAAAAAUGUGAUGAAGGUUCGCAAAACUAAAAGAGAGCUUUCUUGAAAGCCACAUGUAUAAGCUCUCAAAUACUUUUUGAAUUUUGUUUCUAUCGACUACAGAGGCCGAGAUAGCAGCUUUUUUGUAAACCUUAACACUUCAGAAAACACUUGGAGGGGUGCUCGCCCGGGGAGUAAUUUGGUCUAGAACCGCCACUGGAAGCAACAAGCGCAUUGGGACAGUAUGCCCAAGCACACUCCUGGCCAGAUUGCCCCCCCAUGCCUUUCCACCAUUGCAUCUGAUAGCAGCGACGCUACACAGAAUUCGACAGAACAAUCAGAGCCUCCUGCUAGUGGCCCUAAACUGGCCGGGAAGGCUCUGGUUUCCACAGAUGUACAAGCUCCUGACUGGGGCUCUGUGGCAUUUGCCCAGGAGGUGGGACCUGCUCUUGCAGCUAGGGGGGGUCCCAUUUUACAUCUAUGUCCAGAAUGCCUGCAGCUAUGGGUAUGGCCCAUGGGGUCCUUGGGCACUACUAAGCGCUUGUGAUGAGGCUGUCGUUCAAACAAUUGAGGACUCCAGUGCACUCUUCACAAGGGCACUCUGUGCCAACAGGUGGAAGCUUUUUUAAGAAUCAUGUAGGGCCCACAAAGAGCUGCCUGACCAUGCCCCUGUGCCUAUGAUGCUGUGUUUUUUGAAGUCCUUGCUGGAGAAGAGGCGCUCUGCCACUCAGAAUCUUGUGAAAAGAUUUUGUAGGGAUGUUCUGCAGGGUGACGCUGACUUAAAUAGGUUACAUUAUGCGUCAUCGCUGGGCAUAAAACCUUGGUGAUACUAAGUACUCCACCUGCGCAUGUGACAGAUAUCCAGUAUUAAGAACUGCCUCUGAUGGUCAUCCAGGAAUCAUAGAAGCACAGUUAGAUUUGUUACUCUCUUAUUUUAUAUCAUGCAUAUGUCAAGAACUGGCUAAACAAAAAGGAACUCAAAUGCAGGACCAGGAGACCAAUUCUGUGUGGCAAAACAUCAGGAUUUAUUUACAGUCCAAGUUUAGUACAUGAGGUAGAAAUCAAACAGGCAGAGGUAUCCAAAACACAAGGCAAAAGACAGGGUCAAAAAAAUAUCAAAGUCAAUAACAGGCAGGCUAUGAAACAAACAAACAUGCUGGUAAGUGACUAUAAAGAUCAACAAACUGGCGAUGAGAGUGAGAGACAUGGGGUUAAAUACAAGAGGUGAUGAAGGUGAUGGGAAACAGGUGGGGAUGAACAGGGAUGAUCAGGAGGCGGGUGUGACAAGAUGGGGGCUGGGCAGACAUCUAGGAAACAAAGACAAGGGUUAGUGAUAAAAAUAAAACAGGAAACACAAAUACGGAUGAAAUAAAAGUAACUCGACUGUGAUUAUGACAGCAUACUUGAUCAAAAAAAUUCUGAUGAAUAAUCAUCAACUUUGUGUUUUGAAUUUGAGAAUCAAUUUUGGCUAGCCCAAAGAAUUUAGGUUUGCCUUUAGGGUGACCUGCUUGGACAGGAUAAUUCAUGCAACAUUUAUGAAUUGACUGAUGUGUAAAAUUAUGUUAAUUGUACUUUCUGUCAGACAGAACAAGGUACCAAGCAAUAAUGACAAAUGCUACAAAAAUUAGCAUGUAGGUUAUGUAAGGUGGUGUUUGUAGAGUGAGUCUGUCCCCAGUUUGAUUAGAUAUUCUGUAUUUUGUCUUAACUCAUGAAUGAACUGUACAAAGAGAAGUCAUUUCAGGUAAAGAACUCAGAUGAGGUGAGACUACUGUAGUCUGAAUAUUCACUGCAGAACAUUUGGUAUUCCCACAUGGGAUCUAUCUCCUUAAAUGCAACAUAUUUGCAUAACAAAAGCAUAAAUAUACUGUUGUUGGUUGGUAAAGUCAGCUACAUUUUUCAUACUCCCUAAAUUCCUAAAACAGCUCUUCUGGGGUCCACUGGUGUUUUGCAUGAAGGUGCUUUUGAGUGAAAAUGUAACAGUAUAAACAGCAGGCAAAGGAGCACUAAUGCAUACUUAAAUUGUAAUAUUCUACCAAAAUACAGAAAUAAGGACAUUAAACUCAGAGUUCACGAUACGUUUCCCUGGCGGUUUGGGUGUGAUGGCUUCUUUCAGAUGGCUGAUCAAUAUCAAUUUGGUUACCGCAUCCAGAGUAGUUUGAGAAAAUCUGAACAUCAUCUAAAACCCCAUCUUGCAUCAUUACAGCAUUUUAAAUCUGAGUAGAUGCAGAUGCAUUGACAUUUGGAUGCUUUAAAAUGAUUUGCAUCUCUUCAUGCAAUAGCAUGACAGAGUGAACAACACCCAUGCAGUCUCUCAAAGAAAUGCAUACACUUCAUUUCCUUACACAGAUGGAAAGCCCCACUGCAUUUUCAACAUAUAGAUAAUCUAAUUGGAUACGACUGCGAUUGGUUCAUCUCACAAGCAUAAGAGUGUUGCAUGUGAGGUAUUCAGCAUGGGCUGUGGUAGACGCUUUUAGCACUGGGGCAUAGAUGAAGUACCUAUGGUCAAUUUCAGCCUAUUGAAAUGGCAGCAGAGUGAUAGAACUCACUAUACACUUGACACAACACUCACUAACAUCUCAAAAGAAGCUGGCUCUUAUUGUUGUUUGAUGUCUGUCUUCUUAAGAGGUCAACAGCCAGGAUUAAUAAUGCUAGACCUGAAACCAUACUCAAAUGGUCUGAAGCCAUUGCUGUAGUCCAAGGGUUACUUUGAAUUUACUUGACUUAUCAUAUGAUUCUCUUUUUAUCCUAGAAUCUGGGUAUAUUACCAGUCUAUCUAUAUUUCAGUUUGGGCUAUAUACAUGUUGCUGUUUUUUUCUUUUAUUAUUAUUAUUAUUAUUAUUAUUAUUAUUAUUAUUACAUCAUUUUAUUAUUUUUUGUGUGUAUUGUGGUAUCAUCAUCUUAACAGCUAUAACACAUUUUGUACUCAUCUUAGACUGGUGUCUUUGAAAACCUUUAUUUCAGCCUCAGUCUAAAACACUAAGAUUUAGUUAUGGUCUCUUCAAGACUCCUCAGGACUCUUAAGGUCACCUCCCUUAAUUUUCAUGCAAUAAAAUCCUGUCUCUCUAUUUGAAAUAAGAAACUCUAAGACUCACCCACUUAAAUAUAUAAUCUCAGUGCACUGAAAUGUGUUACACGCCUAAAAACAUCUCAACAAAAGCAACACCCACACAAACAUGAAUCUCUUUACCUAAUCCCAAAACAGAAAACAUGAGAAAAGGGACGCAAAAAUUAGAAGUCUGCUCUUCUCUCCUGCUUAAAGUAUUUUUUAAAUUUACUGGGACUCCUGUUCCAAUAAUUGUCGCUGUUAUCCCUAACUUUCAAAGAAGUGAAGAAAAGAGGAAAGAUGAUGUGUUUUCCUACGUUUAUGCUGUAAAACCAGCACUGUUUUAAUCAGCAGCAGACCCUAAAGCCAGACCACAGUUUAGAUUGCACUGUGUUCCCUUUAAGAAAGAUGUCAGACUGUGGUGAUGAGAAGAUCAUUUGAUACCUCAUGGCUGCAUUUAGUCAGGCCCUGAUAUCUUGAAUGUGACUCAAGAGAAAGGUGAGACGGGCACGCUCCACAUGCUGUCUUCGCUUAUCAUUAGUCAGAUUUUAAAAAAAGACAACUCUGGCAUCAACCACUGCAAAAUGAAUCACAUUCUGUUGGGAGACCUUAUUAUUUAGCUCAACCAGCAAAUAAAUUACCCACAGGCACAGACUGCAUCGCUUUAUUAACUUUGCCAACCCCCACUCCUCUCCAGCACCCUCCUCCUGGCUAAAUAUGGGCAUUCCUGGCUGCAAAAGCCAACAUGGCAGCAGCCAAAAGCCCAGCUCAAUGUGUGAUGUUAUUAUUUAUACAGUCCAUUGACUGUCCUCAACCUGAAUCAGCCUGACAGGAAAUCUGUCUGAACAGGAUGGUGGCCAGACAUAUGUGCCAGAACAAAUGUAACCUGAGCUCACAGAUUUGUCUGCUUCCCCAGCAAGCACACAGCUCUCUCCUGCAUGAUUUGAAUUAAAUGUUUUUUCAACAAACCCCUUUCAUUAUUGAAUAGAAGUCAGCAUGUAACAUGUUUGUCAAUCUGCCAGACUGAUUAUUUGUCUGUUACUUGGUGUAUUUCUGUAAAAAACAAAAUAGUCUGAUAGAAAUGAGUAGAGUAUUACAAAAAUAACCUGGCUGGUCUGCAUGAAAAUAAUAACAAAAGUCACAUAAAUGAUUUCAAGCAUUUUUGUCAUAUUUUUCUAUUGCUAUAAAAAUCGGACCUAAUAUCCAAGUGCAGUGGCGGUUCUAGACUAAAAUACUCCCCGGGCAAGACCCCCUCCAACCUAGAAUUUUGAACAGAUAGUUUUGUAUUAUUAUGUAGUAUUAUUAUGAUUCUAACAACAAACAUAAAAUAUUUCUCAAUUGCACAAAUCCUUCAUUAGAAAAAACACAAUCCUGAGGGCCAUUUUGAGAAGGGCCCCCAGAUCCUGAGGUUUUCUGAAGUGUUGAAGUUUACAAAAAAGCUGAUAUCUCAGCCUCUGUAGUAGAUAGAAACAAAUUUCAAAAAGUAUUUGAGAGCUUAUACACGUGGCUUUCAAGAAAGCUGUAUUUGAGUUUUGCAAUUAAAGUGGCUGUAUAAAUAAAAGUAAAGGCUCUGCACUGGAGAAUAACAAACUAUUUGCUUUCUGUAAAAAAAGUGGCAUUCAUGAUAAAGUGUCCAUUCAAUACAAAUGUAAAUAUAAAAAAAUAAAGUGUUGAAAGGGUAUACAGCUGCCCCAGUAAAGUGCCUGUACAAAAGUAGCACUAAAAACUAAAAAUGAAUAAAGUAAUAUGUGGCUGACAGUGCGUUCAUGUCUGUGCUCACCCAAAGUCAUGCAACACUCACAGACAACGCAGAUAGUGUGAACCCAACACUCCAUAUGAAGAGGUUGUUCACACUGCUGGAUGUUUCUCCUCUGAAGCUGCUCUCUGCCUACGUCAUUGUUUACUUUACUCUUGAAGCAUGUAGCAAGAGCCGAGCAUGAAUCUGAGCACUUUAUUUGCCUAUUCGCCACAACUCCAGAAAUGAUUAAAAAACUACAGAAUGUCACAAAAUGACGUAUCUGCGCCCCCGGCUUGGAAGGCUGAUAUGCGGACAUACUGUCCCGGUUUAAAUGGGUUAAGUGAUUGAUGCCGAUGACGGCAAGGCCAGUGAGCUGUUCCUGAGACAUGGUUGACCUUAGGUACGACGUUAUCAACUUCAUUUUUGAGAAGCUCCUCUCUGCUUGAGCCACCAUGACUGGCAGCUCGAGAGCAAUCCUGAGAGCAGAACUGUCCCCCGCGACCCACUCCUCGCCUUGUCUCAUACAGUCUGUCAGCCUCUGUGCGGCACCUUCGCAGCAAGCAGGGGCACCUACAGCAGCAGGGAGCGCCAAUUUGACAAGACUUAAUACAAAACCGCUUUUCGGUGCAGAUUUAUUAUUAUUAUCUUUUUUUUAUUAUUUUUUUGGAAGUGCUCGUGCUGCCCCCCAUGAGUCAUGACACAAAUGCCGCCCCGGGCGGCAGCCCUGUUCGCCCGUGCCUAGAACCGCUACUGUCCAAGUGCAAUAGGAAAGCUUUCUUUUCACACCCUGCAGUCUAGAACAGGUGCUGUAUGACUUCUGCAUUUGAUAAGCAUUAAUGCAGAAAGCUGAUCAAAACUAGUUAAAUUCUCCUCCUUUCCCCUAAAACCACUUACUUAUACAGGCAUUUCCUCUAACUCUGCCUCAUGUUUAAUACUCUUUUUUCUUCCAAGAAGUGGAUAAAAAAUUCAUGCCUUGUCUGCAGAUAUCAAGUGAAAUCAUUAUUCAGCCUGAGUGCUCAGUUAAAUCAGUGUGUUGGUCCUCUGUCCAGUAAGGAGGUGCACUAAAGGACUGCAGAAGAGGAGUUUCCAGCCCAAGCUUAAUAACCUACAUUUAUAUUUAAAGAAAAAAUUAAAUCUAAAUAUACAGGGAAAGUAUGAGAGGAUUUUACAUUAAAAAAACAAACAAACAAAAAAAAAAACAGCUUUGCCCACACUUUGUCACUUUUAAGCAGAAACUCCUGGGACAGUGUCUUCCACUGAAAAUUUGCCCAGAGUUUGAGGCUGAAGGUUGGUCAUUGGGUACACAGUCCCAGUUUUCCUCUUAUACUCAGAACUAUCACUAAUGAGCAAAACUUGUAUUUAUUGAAUUUUUAACAGAGCUUAUGUGAAUGUAACAUGACUGUUCUGUGCAGGUUGAAAUAAUAAUACUGUAGGUCAUAAUUUUCUCUCAUCUCUGUCUUUUGCACAGACAUAAUAGGCACAAUCAGGACUAACAGCUGAAUCACAAUUGCUGUAAACAGUAAACGCUGGUUACACCUGGUAAAAGAGCAUCUCAAUUUUGAUAGCUGAAGAGAGCAAGACUUAGUUUGGCUAAAAACCAUGCCAUGUUGACCCCCCCCCCCCCCCUUUUUUUUUUUUGUUUAUUUGUUUAUUUUAAACUGAAAACACAACUGUGAAAAGUCAGAUUGUCUUUUAUUUAAGGGGGUUUGCUCAUUGGUGGAGUCAACCAUGCAGCAAACAACAUAAUCAGCUUUGGAAAAACGGAACAAUACAAUAAAGUGACUUACUAUUAGUGCGCCCCAUGAAUGGGGACCACAGUCCCCGUAGCGGUUGCCGGUUCGACCGUGUGCUGCAUGUCCUCCUCCCUCUCUCUCUGUCUCCCCACAUUUCACCCUGUCCUAUCAAUAAAAGGCAACCCCCCCAAAAAAAUAAAAUAAAAUAAAAUAAUGCCAAUAAAGUGACUUACUGUAAAAAAUAAAGUUCAUCUUGCUGUGACACACAGGAGCACUUCUAUCCUACAGAGAAGAUCACUGUGUUCUCAGACAAUCCUUAUUCAGUCUCUCAUAAAUAAAUAAAUGUAGUUAGUGAUGAUUUAUGCUUAAACUUCAGUGAAAUACUGUGUUUUGUAUUGUUAGCUGACUAUGCUCAAUAGAGGCUGUCAUCAUUGUUUUGGUUUGUUGACCAAUCAGAGGCUGUAUCUGCAGUUUGCUGACCUUAUAAGAUCAAUGGAAAGGCCAGUAUAAAAAUAUUAGAGAUAGAGCAGUUUUGUCAGGGUGUGUUGUCUGUAUUUUUUAAAACAUUUUUUAAUGAUACCUACCUUAGGACAACAGAUGAAAUUUAGCAACUGUGCAAACUCCUGCAUCUUUACUUUGAUGCUUUUUGCUGAUAUGUUGCUGAUAUCAUUGUGCAUUGUCCUAUUCAAAUAAAUAAAUAAAUGUCUCCAUCCUGUUCAGCUUAUUCUAGUUUCAGUACAUCUGCACUCUUCUCUGCAGUAACACUUGAGUGCUUCAUUUUCACAAGUUAAUUCAAAAACAAAGGAAAAUUGACAAAUAUGUUAAACCAUCAACUUUUAUUGUUAAUUCAAUGUUUAUUUAUGUUUUUUUUUUUAUUUUCAACCAAAGUUGCCUUCUGCAUAGAAACAAGAUUUGGUCUCCAAAGAAUCUUGUCAAAAAACAAACAAACAAAUAAAUAAAAGGGGUCAUUUUACUACCCAGGUUGUCUCGUCGAGGAACAUGAUAAUUAAAGUGUUUUCUGUGUCUUGACAUACUUAAGUGGAAAUGGUCAUAUAUGCACAUAUAGUGUGGCGCCGCACGAGGUGGCAGCUUGUUACAGCAGCUCCCGUGUGUUUUAUACUUUUGUAUCUUUUUCUCUUUCAUUUCUGUCCUGACACAUGUGUGUCUUCACCAGAUAGUGUCUAACUACUGGAUACACCGACUUUUGCCUUUUUUUAACUUUUCUGGCCGUUCUUCUGGACACUUUUUGGCACAUCAGUACUCAUGGCAACGGAGAUUCACAUACGCGACGGUGAGCGCUUUGUUUACACGCGCGAUCAGCUGAUUGUGCUGAGUAAACCUGUGCUGCUGCCCGGAGCGAGGCCCGACAUCCCGGAGGAGCUGAGGAGGAGGUGCCGGGGGUGCAGAGCAGGAGCCAAGCUGAGGGCAAGGAAGAGGAGAUUUCGCCCAGCUGUACUGGCGAUUAUCACGGGGAACGUGAGGUCUUUGGGGAAUAAGACGGACGAGCUAGCCGCGCUGAGAAAGACUUAGAUGUAAUACCGUGAGUGUAGUGUCUUUUGUUUCACUGAGACAUGGCUGCACUCGCAUAUCCGGGAUCACAGCGUGGUGACACCCGGCUUCAGGGUUGUUCGGGCGGACAGAGACAUUAUUAGCAGCGGUAAGAAGAAGGGAGGAGGGAUUGCACUGUAUGUGAGUGAGAGGUGGUGUAAUCUCAGACAUGUGCAUGUGAAGGAACGUCCCUGUGAACCGGAUAUUGAACUGUUCGCUGUUGGAAUGCGUCUGUAUUACCUGCCCCGGGAAUUCACGUCUGCCAUUGUGAUCGCUGCUUACAUCCCCCUAUCAGCUGAUGCACCGACGGCCUAUGACAUCAUCACCUCCACCUUUGCCAGGGUACAGACUCAACAUCCCAAUGCUUUCACUGUUAUUACUGUGUGUCCCCCUUGUUAAGAGGCAGCCUAUUCACACCAUGACGAUGAGGAGGUGGACUGAGGAGGCUGCUGAGGCACUGCAGGACUGCUUUGAAUCAACGGACUGGGAUGUACUCUGUGAGCCACACGAGGAGGACAUCAACAACAUGACAGACUGCAUCACAGAAUAUAUCAGGUUCUGUGAACACUCCACCAUCCCAAACCGGACUGUA